rnacentral:lncRNA from 1 species
UGUGAUCCACCCGGGUACAUGCACAUCCUAAAAGCAACAAACAAGCUGCCAUGCAACCUGAUGUGCAGCUUAUCACAUGGUACAAAGAACUUCACAAAUUAUUAGGACAUCAAUCAAGUAUUAAAAUGCAUGAGCAAGCAGAUAAACUUGCCCCAGAACUUGUUUCCCAAAGUACUUACAACACGCUGACCACAAUAUAAAGCCGGUGACCUGUACUGGUCUGCAGGACUACAUCAUUGUAAUUUGUUCAAACCAGCACCUAAAUUCCACACACUGCCUCACUACAUGCAGGUGAAAAGGCAUAAACCAGAACGCGACUGAACAAGUGAUAACAAGACUGGCAUGCCUAGUUUGGAACUUGUAUGCAGAGCUGGGGAAAUGAGAAAGUUGGAGGUAGUGUCAUUGUGGAAAUCCACAUAGACCUGAAAAGAAGUUAUCCAACCAAUUAGAUAAAAGACCUUGUUUUGAGUAUACGUGCACUUAAACCUUUCAUUAACAAUCGUUUUGUUGUUGGUCUGCACCAUAUGAACCCAAAGUAAGUUUUCCCUUUUACUUUUGUUUUUUCAUGCAAAUGUGUAACAGAGAGAGGGUCUAAAAAGAGAGAUAGUUCAGAGGAAAGAGAGCACAGAAGGGAAGGGAAAUUGAUGCGUGAGAGAAUUAAAUGACCAAUAGUUCUGUACAUUCAGCAAGAUAUAGAUGACAACAUUCUAUGAAAAGAAAUCACAUGAUCCUAUAGAGCGCAAUGAAACCAUUCCUAACUCAGUUUAGUAUAAAAGUACUACACUACUAAAGGAGAGCUAGUUCUCACAUAGGAACAAAAUAAGAUCAAUCAUGCAGGGUCCGACAUUCAUAUAGAUACAGAAAUAUGUAUACAACAUCACGACACUUGCAAGGUAACUUAGAGAGACAUACACAAACAAAAAAACGAACACAUGAUGGAUUUUUUUGGGCUACAGAAACAAAACCUGAAGAUUUUUCACCACAACUGUACACCCGAUAGUACAGUAUUCUGCUAGAGCAACACAAGAAAAUCCCUUCUUUUACCACCUAUAUCUAAAUAAUAACAAGAUAUUCAAAUUUUCAGUACCACGUCCACAGUAUGGUUGUCAAAUCAAAAAGUAUUGUUAAAUACUUUAACUCAUUUUUUUUACCAAAACAUGCAUACAAGGCAUAGUAGUGAUUCAGUAUAUUUGCUAGAAGAUACUGUAAUGUAAAUUUAUAAGAGAAUGUAGUAUAAACACAACUGAAAAUUCUGUAACAUGGUUUAGAAGAUACCAUAUUAACAGCGAGUACAAUAUAAAAAAGAGCCACUGUAAGGCAUAAUGGUUAUUUAGUGCUGGUUUUCAAAUAAACACAAACAAUGCUACUACCACCACAAAUUAAGGCUCGCAAUAUAAAACAGAGCAAUUGCCCAAGUAUUUAUUUUGUGAGUGUCGAAGCAUGAUAAAUGUGAGCGGAAAUCUUGUCUUAUGAAUGAGCGGUUCGAUUUUCUCACAUGAUAUAGCACCUGAUGCACCCGUGAUUGGAUUACUGCUUGUUGGGGGGAAAGCAAGCACAUCGAAGCUUCAGAAAUACCACUAUAGGGAUCACCAUAUUUUACAGAUAAAAUUUUCAUUGUUAGCCUGUCCACAAAGUCGGCAGAAAAAUAUCAGUGUUGCCUCCAAAAUCAUACCGGCAACUUUAACAUGUUAUACAUAGAACCUAAAAAAACAUCAGGAAAUAAGUACCCAAAUAUAAUAACAAACAAAUAAACCUACUCAAGAAAUCGUUCCCCAUGCUACCUAUAUCCCUUGCUUAAGAAAAAAAAUAACCUGCCUAAGAAAUUGUUUCACACGGCACCUAAAAUCUAAAUCCAAUGGGUUGUGGCCAAACUUAUCUGCACCACCAAACCAUUUUAAAAGGUCAAACAAGCAGUUCCAACGGGCCAUUUAGCUCACUGGCAAGUCCAACCUCUACAUAACACCUAAGAGAUUCAAGACAAAAGCUAGCUCAACGUUCCUCGCAGCUAAUAGAAACACCAUGAGAGAACUGUUCUGCAACAAAAAUGAAAAUAGCAACCAUAGUGACAGUAGCAGGGUUCAGAAAACUGCUCUGUUUUUCUAGAACCAAACCAACAUUGUUUUUAAUAUCAUGCAAAAGCUCUUCUUUUGUGUUUUUUUACACAGAUAAAACCUGUCCAAAUAUAUGUGUUUCGGCCUUCAGUGCCAUUAUUAAGAACACCACGACUACAAAAGCUUCUGCCUUUGCACAACACUUUCCUCCCGACUUCACUAAAUCAUAGAAGAAUAUAAUUUUUAUAAUUGACAAUAGUAACAGUCUCCAGCUAUAGUAUCAGGGUCGAAUUCUCUCAACUAUAUAUUGCAAAAAGGGUUGUAAUAGUCUCCGGCUUGGCUGGUUUUACCUUGAACAAAAUUGCGAUUUAGAAAAGCAGCAUGGGUUUUCUGAAGAAGCUCUUGUACCUGGUCAACAGUCCCAUUGCCUGAUCGGAGUGAGGGAGAAAUGCAGGUAAGAAGAAUGAACAAGCAUCCUGAAGUGAGAGUAGUAAAUAACCAAGAAAUGAACCAAUAAAAAAACACAAAGAACAAUCACUAUCAGACCCAUUAAUUUGUCCAUAUACAUGAUUUAGAGUAUAACUUGGAAAUGAAAACUAUCUAGGCAGAUUAGAGAUAGAGCUCACCUUGUUUUUCCCUCUUCCUCAAGAUCCUUCCUCUUCUCUUCUUCGUUCGAUCUGCACACAUCCUGUUUAGAAAAACAUAAAACAAGAUAUCCAAAUUAGAUUAAUGAACCAAGGGAAACAACAGGGGAACCUGCAUGAGUUUUUCUUCUGCAUCAGGUUUCAGAGUUCAGAGGAAGAAAUGUAAGUGAUUAUUUUUAAGUGGUGGCUGACAUAUUGACCUAGCAUAGAUCAAGCAAUCCCAUAACCACCUUAGUAUCAAGACUAACUUGUGCAUUAAUCUCAGCAGUACUCUGUUUUAGAAGGGAAAUGCUUUCAUCAAGUGAAGCUUGUUGUCCAGCCUGAUACAUAGUAGAGCCAUAGUUUCAGUUAGUAAUCUAGCACAACAUAGGAGAAACAAAUCAAGUCAUUCAAUGAAAAGAACCUUGAAGCCCUGCUCUUUGGGGCUAUGGACGCCAUGCCGAGCGCUCGCAGGAGACAUGGAUCGCACCACCACAAUGCCCUUGACACCUAGGAUUUUAGCAC